rnacentral:rRNA from 1 species
UACGAAGGGGGCUAGCGUUGCUCGGAAUCACUGGGCGUAAAGCGCACGUAGGCGGAUUGCUAAGUCAGGGGUGAAAUCCUGGAGCUCAACUCCAGAACUGCCUUUGAUACUGGCGACCUUGAGUCCGGGAGAGGUGAGUGGAACUGCGAGUGUAGAGGUGAAAUUCGUAGAUAUUCGCAAGAACACCAGUGGCGAAGGCGGCUAACUACACGAUCAUUGACACUGAGGCACGAAAGCUAGGGGAGCAAACAGG